GUUUUUUUUUCCAGGUCACCCGCAAGCUGUCGGGCAGCACAGAAAAGUGGCUCGAGUUUGGAGCGUCGUGGUGAUGCUGGUUGGAUCGCUGUCACAUGUAUGGCUGAUGCGUUGCCGGUAGCUGCGCUGCGUCCUCUACUGCACUGCACUUGGGCAGGUGCAUCAUCGUGUGCCAAAGUCUGAUAUGUCUCAUCGGAGAUGUGACGGCGCAUCACCAAGACGGGAAGAACCACUGCUGUUUUGUACGGUGCAGUUUCGUGCAGCACUGUUUUGUAUGGCGUUGCUUUGUGCGCUUCAGGUCUUGUUUUGUUUUGUAAUUUGUUCAUUCUGGGUGAUGUUUGAUAUUCCUUUUAUCGUUCAUUAUUCAGUCAGUCUGUUAUUUUGUUUCAAGUAUUUUGUUCAUUUAUUGCUACUGACUCCUCUUGUAGCUGCUGGGGCCCAGAUGGUAUAUGUGACCUGGUGGUGGUUUGUUUCAUCGUGUGCUUUGCUGUUGGGGACACGUUUGCAUGUUUGUGCAUCUUGGAUGUGUUUGUUCGGGUUCAUCAGGUUGUUGUGUU